rnacentral:rRNA from 1 species
UACGUAGGGGGCUAGCGUUGUCCGGAAUCAUUAGGCGUAAAGAGCGUGUAGGCGGCCCGGUAAGUCCGCUGUGAAAGUCGGGGGCUCAACCCUCGAAUGCCGGUGGAUACUGUCGGGCUAGAGUGCGGAAGAGGCGAGUGGAAUUCCUGGUGUAGCGGUGAAAUGCGCAGAUAUCAGGAGGAACACCGAUUGCGAAGGCAGCUCGCUGGGACGUAACUGACGCUGAGACGCGAAAGCGUGGGGAGCAAACAGG